rnacentral:rRNA from 1 species
AGCAGUAGCCGCGGUAAUACGUAGGGUGCGAGCGUUAAUCGGAAUUACUGGGCGUAAAGCGUGCGCAGGCGGUGAUGUAAGACAGAUGUGAAAUCCCCGGGCUCAACCUGGGAACUGCAUUAGUGACUGCAUCGCUGGAGUGCGGCAGAGGGGGAUGGAAUUCCGCGUGUAGCAGUGAAAUGCGUAGAUAUGCGGAGGAACACCGAUGGCGAAGGCAAUCCCCUGGGCCUGUACUGACGCUCAUGCACGAAAGCGUGGGGAGCAAACAGGAUUAGAUACCCCUGUAGUCCCUGUCUCUUAUAC